AUUGAACGCUGGCGGCAGGCCUAACACAUGCAAGUCGAACGAGUGGCGGAAGGGUGAGUAAUGUCUGGGAAACUGCCUGAUGGAGGGGGAUAACUACUGGAAACGGCAGCUAAUACCGCAUACACUCGGAUGUGCCCAGCUGGGAUUAGCUAGUGUGUGGGGUAAAGGCUCACCUAGGCGACGAUCCCUAGCAGGUCUGAGAGGAGGACCAGCCACGCUGGAACUUAGACCCGGUCCAGACUCCCACGGUAGGCAGCAGUGGGGAAUAUUGCAGAAUGGGCGCAAGCCUGAUGCCGACAUGCCGCGUGGAUGAAGAAGGCCUUCGGGUUGUAAAGUACUUUUAGCGGAGAGGCGUUACCCGAAGAAGAAGCAACGGCUAACUCCGUGCCAGCCGCCGCGGUAAUAC
rnacentral:rRNA from 1 species